rnacentral:rRNA from 1 species
GCAAGUCGUGCGAGAAAGAUCUUCGGAUAUGAGUAGAGCGGCGGACGGGUGAGUAACGCGUAGGAAUCUACCUAGUAGAAGGGGAUAGCCCGGGGAAACUCGGAUUAAUACCGUAUACCUCCUUCGGGAGAAAGAAGGCCUCUCUUUGAAGCUUUCGCUACUAGAUGAGCCUGCGUAAGAUUAGCUUGUUGGUGAGGUAAAGGCUCACCAAGGCUACGAUCUUUAGCUGGUCUGAGAGGACGAUCAGCCACAUUGGGACUGAGACACGGCCCAGACUCCUACGGGAGGCAGCAGUGGGGAAUAUUGGACAAUGGGCGCAAGCCUGAUCCAGCCAUACCGCGUGUGUGAAGAAGGCCUUCGGGUUGUAAAGCACUUUAAGCAGGGAGAAAAAGUUAUAGGUUAAUACCCUAUGACCCUGAUGUUACCUGCAGAAUAAGCACCGGCUAAUUCCGUGCCAGCAGCCGCGGUAAUACGGAAGGUGCAAGCGUUAAUCGGAAUUACUGGGCGUAAAGCGCGCGUAGGUGGUUUGUUAAGUUGGAUGUGAAAGCCCUGGGCUCAACCUAGGAACUGCAUCCAAAACUAACUCACUAGAGUACGAUAGAGGGAGGUAGAAUUCAUAGUGUAGCGGUGGAAUGCGUAGAUAUUAUGAAGAAUACCAGUGGCGAAGGCGGCCUCCUGGAUCUGUACUGACACUGGAGGUGCG